UAUAUAGGAAGAACCCUCCCUGGCCUCGCCAUCUUGAUAUGUUCCCAGGAGAGGAUUGCUUUCUUCUGGAACUGGAACACAGCAGGUGCAUCAUGGUUGUCAUCAGCUGUUGUGAGGAGAUGGUGUAAUUAGUCCAGCGAGGACAGCCAUCGUCGUCAGUAGUUACCAGCUAAUAGUGGGGCACUCUAAGGGGACUCCGGGUGAUAACCGGAGGAGAAGGUGGGGAUGGUCACAAGUCCUCAUGGCCCUUACCCAGGGGUACACACACGUGCCACAAUAGGGACACGGGGGCAGCGAGCAAGCGGGUAAGCCAAAACCAGAAAACCCAAUUCAGUCCGGAAUGGCGUUUGCAAAUUGGAGCCCAGAAAUCGGAAACGGCAGGAAACGCAGAUCAGCACGCUGCGGGAAUACGACAA
rnacentral:rRNA from 1 species